UACGGGGGGGGGCAAGCGUUGUUCGGAAUUACUGGGCGUAAAGGGCGCGUAGGCGGCCUUCUAAGUCGGACGUGAAAUCCCUCGGCUUAACCGAGGAACUGCGUCCGAUACUGAAAGGCUUGAAUCCGGGAGAGGGAUGUGGAAUUCCUGGUGUAGCGGUGGAAUGCGCAGAUAUCAGGAGGAACACCAAUAGCGAAGGCAGCUCGCUGGGACGGUAUUGACGCUAAGGCGCGAAAGCGUGGGGAGCAAACAGG
rnacentral:rRNA from 1 species